rnacentral:rRNA from 1 species
UACGGAGGGUGCAAGCGUUAUCCGGAUUCACUGGGUUUAAAGGGUGCGUAGGUGGGUUGGUAAGUCAGUGGUGAAAUCCCCGAGCUUAACUUGGGAACUGCCAUUGAUACUAUCAGUCUUGAAUACCGUGGAGGUCAGCGGAAUAUGUCAUGUAGCGGUGAAAUGCUUAGAUAUGACACAGAACACCCAUUGCGAAGGCAGCUCGCUAAACCACCAUUGACGCUGAGGCACGAAAGCGUGGGGAGCAAACAGG